rnacentral:rRNA from 1 species
AGGGCGCAGGGCGAAUGCCUUGGCACUGGGAGCCGAUGAAAGACGUGAUAAGCUGCGAUAAGCUUCGGGGAGCUGCAAAUAAGCAUUGAUCCGGAGAUCUCUGAAUGAGGAAACUCACCUGGGUUCAUACUCAGGUACGAUCUACUGAACUUCAAAAUAGGUAGAUCGAGGGAACCGCCUGAACUGAAACAUCUAAGUAGGGCGAGGAAGAGACAUCAAACGAGAUUCCGUAAGUAGUGGCGAGCGAACGCGGAAGAGGGCAAACCGGGAGUCGAAAGACUUCCGGGGUACGGACUGCAUUUAAGACUUGAGUUGUUAACCGAACGGCAUGGGAAGGCCGGUCAGAGAGUGUGAGAACCACGUAGGUGAAAACGACGAGAGCUGAGCAAUUUCCAGAGUACGGCCAGACACGUGAAACCUGGUCGGAAGAUGGGGGGACCACCCUCCAACCCUAAAUACUACCCAGUGACCGAUAGCGUAUAGUACUGUGAAGGAAAGGUGAAAAGCACCCCGGGAGGGGAGUGAAAAAGAACCUGAAACCCUGUGCCUACAAGCACCUAGAGCACGUCAAAGUGUGAUAGGGUACUUUUUGUAGAACGGUCCGGCGAGCGAUUGUAUGCAGCAAGGUUAAGGUCUUCAGGACUGGAGCCGAAGCGAAAGCGAGUUUGAAAAGGGCGUUAAGUUGCAUACAAUGGGCCCGAAACCGGGUGACCUACCCAUGGUCAGGUUGAAGUGGAAGUAAAAUUCCAUGGAGGACCGAACCGACCUCCGUUGAAAAGGCGGCGGAUGAACUGUGGGUAGCGGUGAAAUUCCAAUCGAACCCGGAUAUAGCUGGUUCUCCCCGAAAUAGCUUUAGGGCUAGCCUCGAAUGUAGAUUUCUGGAGGUAAAGCACUGAACGGCCUAGGGGGCGAAAGCCUACCGAAGCCUAUCAAACUCUGAAUGCCAGAAAAUUUUGUUCGGGAGUCAGACUGUGUGAGAUAAGUUUCAUGGUCAAAAGGGAAACAGCCCAGAUCCACAACUAAGGUCCCUAAUUACGUUUAAGUGGGAAAGGAUGUGGAAUCGCUAAAACAACCAGGAUGUUGGCUUAGAAGCAGCCACACAUUUAAAGAGUGCGUAAUAGCUCACUGGUCGAGUGGUUCUGCGCCGAAAAUUUAACGGGGCUAAAACGUAAACCGAAGUUUGGGCAGUAUUGAUUAAUACUGGGUAGGGGAGCGUCGAAUAAUGGGGUGAAGCAUGAGCGGAAGCGCGUGUGGACUUUAUUCGAGUGAGAAUGCCGGAAUGAGUAGCGCGAAUUAUGUGAGAAUCAUAAUGGCCGAAAGUCUAAGGUUUUAGGAGGAAGGUUCGUCCGCUCCUAGUAAGCCGGGAGCUAAGGUGAGGCCGAGAGGCGUAGCCGAUGCACAUAAUGUUGAAAUUCAUUAGCCUCCAAAAGAUUUAAGCAAGAGGAAGCCCUUGAAGGGACUGAGCCGGGCGUUGGUAGACCCGGUCGUAAGGGAGCGAAAUUAAGUAGCGAAGCAGUCAUGAAUGGGGACGAGAAAAGUCUUGUGAAUAUCUUCGGAGCCCGUACCGCAAACCGACACAGGUAGACAGGAAGAGGAUUCUAAGGCCAACGGGAGAAGGGUUGUUAAGGAACUCGGCAAGUUGACCCCGUAACUUCGGAAUAAGGGGUGCUCACGAGAGUGAGCCGCAGAGAAUAGGUCCAGGCGACUGUUUAGCAAAAACACAGGUCUAUGCUAAAUCGAAAGAUGACGUAUAUGGGCUGACGCCUGCCCGGUGCUGGAAGGUUAAGAGGAGAGCUUAGUCGCAAGGCGAAGGUUUGAAUUGAAGCCCCAGUAAACGGCGGCCGUAACUAUAACGGUCCUAAGGUAGCGAAAUUCCUUGUCAGGUAAGUUCUGACCCGCACGAAUGGCGUAACGAUUUGGGCACUGUCUCAACAGCCCACCCGGCGAAAUUGUUGUACUGGUGAAGAAGCCAGUUACCCGCAACUAGACGGAAAGACCCCAUGGAGCUUUACUGUAGCUUAAUACUGGAAAUCGGUAAAUCAUGUACAGGAUAGGUGGGAGACUUGGAAGCCUGGGCGUCAGCUUAGGUGGAGUCAACCUUGGGAUACCACCCUUGAUUUGCUGGUUUUCUAACCUGCGGCCGUGAAUCCGGUCGGGGGACACUGUUAGGUGGGCAGUUUGACUGGGGCGGUCGCCUCCAAAAAGGUAACGGAGGCGCUCAAAGGUUCGCUCAGCACGGACGGAAACCGUGCAGUGAGUGUAAACGCAUAAACGAGCCUAACUGCGAGACUGACGGGUCGAGCAGUAACGAAAGUUGGAGUUAGUGAUCCGGCGGUAUGAGAGUGGAAUUGCCGUCGCUCAACGGAUAAAAGCUACCCUGGGGAUAACAGGCUGAUCUCCCCCAAGCGUCCACAGCGACGGGGAGGUUUGGCACCUCGAUGUCGGCUCGUCACAUCCUGGGGCUGUAUUCGGUCCCAAGG